UUGUUCGAGUAAUGUAAAUUUAAACCCGGAAAAUUACAUGUUUAUCAUUUUUAUACUACCACUUUUCAUUUUUAUCACCACUAAAAAGAUAUUUUCAAAAAUAUUUUCUUCACUAAAGUGGGAAAAAACUUUUAUAUCUUUGUUCUUUAUAUAUAUAAUAAAUAAAUAUUUAAAUAAAUAAAAAUCUAAAAAAAUAAAAAAUAAUUUUUUUUCAAAUUAUACUAUUUCGAAAUUCAAACCCUAAACCCUAAAACUAAACUCUAAAUCCUAAACCAUCAAUCCUAAACCCUGUUUUUUUUGAAAUACGAACCCUAAACCCUAAACCAUCAAUCCUAAACCUUUUUUUUUUUGAAAUACGAACCCUAAACCCUGAAACAUCAACUCUAAACCCUAAAACCCGAAAAAUCAACUCUAAACCUUAAACCUUCAACUCUAAACCCUAAACCCUAAACCCUAAACUUCAACUCUAAACCCUAAACCAUCACCACUAAACCCUAAACCCUAAAAAGUAAACUCUAAACCCUAAAAACUUAACCCUAAACCAUAAAACAUCAACUCUAAACCCUAAACCCUAAACCUUCAACCAUAAACCCUAAACCCUAAACUCUAAACCCUAAAUCCUAAACCCUAAACCCUAAACCCUAAAACCCUAGAGUUGAUGUUUUAGGGUUUAGAUUUGUAGGUUUAGGGUUUACGUUUAGGGUUUAGAGUUGAUGUUUUAGGGUUUAUAUUUGAAGGUUUAGGGUUUAGGGUUUAGAGUUGAUGUUUCGGGGUUUAGGGUUUAGAGUUGAUGUUUUAUUGUUUAGGGUUUAGAGUUGAUGAUUUAGGGUUUAAAGUUGAUGUCUUAAUUUUAGAUUUAGGGUUUAGAGUUUACGUUUAGGGUUUAGAGUUGAUGUUUUAGGGUUUUUGAUUUGAAGGUUUAGGGUUUAGGGUUUAGGGUUUAGAGUUGAUGUUUCGGGAUUUAGGGUUUAGAGUUGAUGUUUCAUGGUUUAGAGUUGAUGAUUUAGGGUUUAGAGUUGAUGUUUUAAGCUUAGAUUAGUUAUUUUUUUGUCAAAGUUAAUCAAAAGGUUAUAUAUGUCUUUUACCCUUUAUUAAAGAUGAGGGUAAAAGUGGUUAGUGUAAACAUGAAAAGUGGUACUUUGAAAAUGGUAUUUUUGGCAAUUUCUCUUACAUCUUUCUAAAAUA
rnacentral:lncRNA from 1 species